rnacentral:sRNA from 12 species
UCUUGAUUUACACUGCAGUUUGCAGUGUUUUAUCUGGGCUACACGCUUUUUUACUAGUGCAGUGUAAUGCUUUCAAGCAACCUGUCUUAAAAUACAACUGCAACACCUAAUAUGUGAAGCAGUGGUGAUUAAUUAAGUAAAAAAGCUACAGGGU